rnacentral:tRNA from 1 species
UCCUCUGUAACGGCGGACUGUUAAUCCGUAUGUCACUGGUUCGAGUCCAGUCAGAGGAGCCA